GAGCUAGGUCCCAAGGCCUGGGAACAUGAACUCAGUUUUGAUCCAGUCAGCUGAGAUGGCUGGGCUCAGGAAACUGUCUCCUAACAGUAGAACGAGAGAGAUGGGAAGGAUGUAAGAGCCAGGGGACCAUUUGCUGGUCUGCCGAUCAUCUUAGAGUCUCUGCAGAAGAUGCCUGGGCUGGGAAAUCCAUUUGGUCCAUGACCAGAAAAGACUGAGAAAUCUUUAUUCUAAACCAUGGUCUGCUCUGGAGGGGUUGAACCCCAAGAAAAAAUGGCAAAUAGCGACAACAGUGAAAAGGAGAUGAGCACCCCAGAUGUGGGGACUGUGCUAGUCACUGUGCUUGUGGAAGAAAAACUGGCAAAGGAGAAGAGAGAGACCAUCGAGGCCACUGGCUUUAUCUUACACCUGCUGCCCUUGACCAUGUGGUGAUGCCCAAAUGAUCACUCUGGAAUCCUAGACCUUGGAACCAGAGCCCAAGAAACCUCUGUGCUUUAUAAGUCACUCAACCAGGAAUACUCAGAUAUAGUAACAGAAGACAAAGCUAAGCCACACGGGAUGUAAGGAGAUGAGCCCAGAUAGAAAUAAGGCUACAGAAUCAAUCAGAUGGAAAAAAAUCACUCCUGUACCUGUUCGUGUUAGAACUGCAUCAUGUUUUCAUACUGGAAAAAAUGUUUUAAAUACACCCUCUACCCGUUAUAGAAUGACGUAACCUCUCUUUUAGACACAUGCAUGUGCACAUAAGUCUACCCCUAACCACCUUUCAGCCAGACAUUACAGAAUCAGUAGAUAGUCGGUAUUGCUUCAGAAGACAGGUGAUUAAAAGAGGAUUUUAUAUUUUUGGAACGUUUGCUAUGGGUUUUUUUC
rnacentral:lncRNA from 1 species